CGCUGAAACACCGGUUUCCUGUACAAUCACCGAAGUUAAGCUAUGUCGAACCUGGUCAGUACCGAGAUGGGUGACUGUUUCGAAAUAUCAGGUGCUGUAAGC